UGUGACGACCAAUGGGCUGCCGUGGA
rnacentral:piRNA from 1 species